UUGAACGCUGGCGGCAUGCUUUACACAUGCAAGUCGAACGGUAACAGGGAGCUUGCUCCGCUGACGAGUGGCGAACGGGUGAGUAAUGCGUCGGAACGUGCCGAGUAGUGGGGGAUAACGCAUCGAAAGGUGUGCUAAUACCGCAUACGUACUGAGGUAGAAAGUGGGGGACCUUCGGGCCUCACGCUAUUCGAGCGGCCGACGUCUGAUUAGCUAGUUGGUGAGGUAAAGGCUCACCAAGGCGACGAUCAGUAGCGGGUCUGAGAGGAUGAUCCGCCACACUGGGACUGAGACACGGCCCAGACUCCUACGGGAGGCAGCAGUGGGGAAUUUUGGACAAUGGGCGCAAGCCUGAUCCAGCCAUGCCGCGUGUCUGAAGAAGGCCUUCGGGUUGUAAAGGACUUUUGUCCGGGAGCAAAUGCCUGGUGUUAAUAGCACUGGGAGCUGAGAGUACCGGAAGAAUAAGCACCGGCUAACUACGU
rnacentral:rRNA from 1 species